CUCCUUGCUGGCCCUCCUCCCCUUCCCUCCCCUCCGCCCCCUUCCCCGUAGGCAGCUCGCCCGCCAGUCCGCCCGCACCGCCUCCUUCCCAACCCCUAGCGCUCCGGCUGGGUCUCUCCCCCGCCCCCCAGGCUCCCCCGGUCGCUCUCCUCCGGCGGUCGCCCGCGCUCGGUGGAUGUGGCUGGCAGCUGCCGCCCCCUCCCUCGCUCGCCGCCUGCUCUUCCUCGGCCCUCCGCCUCCUCCCCUCCUCCUUCUCGUCUUCAGCCGCUCCUCUCGCCGCCGCCUCCACAGCCUGGGCCUCGCCGCGAUGCCGGAGAAGAGGCCCUUCGAGCGGCUGCCUGCCGAUGUCUCCCCCAUCAACUGCAGCCUUUGCCUCAAGCCCGACUUGCUGGACUUCACCUUCGAGGGCAAGCUGGAGGCCGCCGCCCAGGUGAGGCAGGCGACUAAUCAGAUUGUGAUGAAUUGUGCUGAUAUUGAUAUUAUUACAGCUUCAUAUGCACCAGAAGGAGAUGAAGAAAUACAUGCUACAGGAUUUAACUAUCAGAAUGAAGAUGAAAAAGUCACCUUGUCUUUCCCUAGUACUCUGCAAACAGACAGAGUAGCUUUAUCAAACAUGAAUGUAAUUGACCGGAAACCAUACCCUGAUGAUGAAAAUUUAGUGGAAGUGAAGUUUGCCCGCACACCUGUUACAUCUACAUAUCUGGUGGCAUUUGUUGUGGGUGAAUAUGACUUUGUAGAAACAAGGUCAAAAGAUGGUGUGUGUGUCUGUGUUUACACUCCUGUUGGCAAAGCAGAACAAGGAAAAUUUGCAUUAGAGGUUGCUGCUAAAACCUUGCCUUUUUAUAAGGACUACUUCAAUGUUCCUUAUCCUCUACCUAAAAUUGAUCUCAUUGCUAUUGCAGACUUUGCAGCUGGUGCCAUGGAGAACUGGGACCUUGUUACUUAUAGGGAGACUGCAUUGCUUAUUGAUCCAAAAAAUUCCUGUUCUUCAUCCCGCCAGUGGGUUGCUCUGGUUGUGGGACAUGAACUUGCCCAUCAAUGGUUUGGAAAUCUUGUUACUAUGGAAUGGUGGACUCAUCUUUGGUUAAAUGAAGGUUUUGCAUCCUGGAUUGAAUAUCUGUGUGUAGACCACUGCUUCCCAGAGUAUGAUAUUUGGACUCAGUUUGUUUCUGCUGAUUACACCCGUGCCCAGGAGCUUGACGCCUUAGAUAACAGCCAUCCUAUUGAAGUCAGUGUGGGCCAUCCAUCUGAGGUUGAUGAGAUAUUUGAUGCUAUAUCAUAUAGCAAAGGUGCAUCUGUCAUCCGAAUGCUGCAUGACUACAUUGGGGAUAAGGACUUUAAGAAAGGAAUGAACAUGUAUUUAACCAAGUUCCAACAAAAGAAUGCUGCCGCAGGUAAUCUUUAAUAGCUUGAGAUAGAAAUGGAGAGAAAGUAUUGUCACUCUAUCCAGGCUGGGACAUUUUAUUUUUGUUCUGAAUACUUAACUCAAGGUCAGGAUCCAUGUAAUAAAUAAAUUAGCCUUAUUUGAA
ensembl:lncRNA NPEPPSP1 NPEPPS pseudogene 1